AUUAAACGCUGGCGGCAUGCUUUACACAUGCAAGUCGAACGGCAGCACGGCUUCGGGCCUGGGUGGCGAGUGGCGAACGGGUGAGUAAUGCAUCGGAACGUACCGUGUAAUGGGGGGAUAACGUAGCGAAAGUUACGCUAAUACCGCAUACGCCCUGAGGGGGGAAAGCGGGGGGAUCGUAAGACCUCGCGUUAUACGAGCGGUCGAUGUCGGAUUAGCUAGUUGGUGGGGUAAAGGCCUACCAAGGCGACGAUCCGUAGCGGGUCUGAGAGGAUGAUCCGCCACACUGGGACUGAGACACGGCCCAGACUCCUACGGAGGCAGCAGUGGGGAAUUUUGGACAAUGGGCGCAAGCCUGAUCCAGCCAUGCCGCGUGAGUGAAGAAGGCC
rnacentral:rRNA from 1 species